CUUAAUUUUAAACAAGACAGACUAGAGUUCUUCAAAUUGUUUAUACUUUUUCUCAAAUACAAAUAUUUCAAGCUGAUAAGCACUGUGGACUUGGCAUGUUACUGAUAUUGUUACAUUACUACUUUGUUUGAGAAGCUUCAUGUCUGCAUUGAGCCUAAAUUUAACAGUUUUUGAAGGGUUUAGUUCUUUGUUUUAUUUCUGUGUCACUGACUUUUUUCAUUUUUAUGUGUGGAUUUGUUAGGCGCAUCAACACAUGAUAUAGACAUCGUGCCCAAAAGAAGAGCGAGACGUAAUCCUGAGGCUGAAGCCACCGAGUUUAUUUGAUCUGGAUGUGACAAGUCUUGUUUUAAGGCCCAGUGGAUCAAUGAUUGGAAAGACACCAACUGUUGAUGUUCUAUCUCAACAUUCUCCAGAUUCAUGUGAGCGAUAAACCGACUUCAUCCCUCCAACAGACACCAACUGUUGGGGUUCUAUCUCAACAUUCUCCAGAUUCAGAUGUGAGCGAUAAACCGACUUCAUCCCUCCAACAGAAACCAACUGUUGAGGUUCCAUCUCAACAUUCUCCGGAUUCAGAUGUGAGCCAUUAACUGACUUCAUCCCUCCAACAGAAACCAACUGUUUGAGGUUCUAUCUCAACAUUCUCUAGAUUCAGAUGACAGCCAUAAACCGACUUCAUCCCUCCAACAGAUUGACAGCAGGACAAAUCGCUGGAAGUGGGUAUGUCUCAAGCUUCUUCCACUUGGUCCACUCCAAAGCGGGCUGCAAAGGGGAAGAAGUGGAAGCAGUUGAAUGACACAUGUUGCAUUUUGUAACUGGCAACAAAGUACCAGGUAAAAAAGAUUGUGAAGCCUGCCUCCAUAAAGAACUAGUAGCUCUACAGGACAGAGAUUGGCUUGCCAUCAAGUACUACAUCCAUAACAGAAUUAUAUUAAAAAAAGGGAAAAAAAAUGUUUUCC